rnacentral:tRNA from 1 species
GCCAGAGUGGCGAAAUUGGUAGACGCAGCGGAUUCAAAAUCCGCCGGUAGCAAUACUGUGCCGGUUCAAGUCCGGCCUCUGGUA